rnacentral:misc_RNA from 1 species
GAUGAAGAACGCAGCGAAAUGCGAUAAGUAAUGUGAAUUGCAGAAUUCAGUGAAUCAUCGAAUCUUUGAACGCACCUUGCGCUCCUUGGUAUUCCGAGGAGCAUGCCUGUUUGAGUGUCAUUAAUAUAUCAACCUUCUCUUUUUUGAGUUGUUUGGAUGUGGGGGUUUGCUGGCCUCUUAAAUGAUUCAGCUCCCCUGAAAUGCAUUAGCAGAACAACCUGUUCAUUGGCGUGAUAAUUAUCUAUGCUAUUGAAUGUGAGGGCAGUUCAGCUUUCUAACCGUCCUUGGACAAUUCAUCAUUAAUGUGACCUCAAAUCAGGUAGGACUACCCGCUGAACUUAAGCAUAUCAUAAGCGGAGGA